AUCACCUAGGAUCUUGUUAAAAUGCAGAUUCUGAUUCAGGAGGUCAGUACUAGGGUAUAGUAGACCCGACAGUCUGCGUUUCUAACAAGCUCCCAAGUGAUGUCAA
rnacentral:pre_miRNA from 1 species